rnacentral:rRNA from 1 species
UACGUAAGGUGCGAGCGUUAAUCGGAAUUACUGGGCGUAAAGCGUGCGCAGGCGGUCUGUUAAGACCGAUGUGAAAUCCCCGGGCUUAACCUGGGAACUGCAUUGGUGACUGGCAGGCUUUGAGUGUGGCAGAGGGAGGUAGAAUUCCACGUGUAGUAGUGAAAUGCGUAGAGAUGUGGAGGAAUACCGAUGGCGAAGGCAGCCUCCUGGGCCAACACUGACGCUCAUGCACGAAAGCGUGGGGAGCAAACAGG